rnacentral:rRNA from 1 species
AGUCGAGCGGUAGAGAGAAGCUUGCUUCUCUUGAGAGCGGCGGACGGGUGAGUAAUGCCUAGGAAUCUGCCUGGUAGUGGGGGAUAACGUUCGGAAACGGACGCUAAUACCGCAUACGUCCUACGGGAGAAAGCAGGGGACCUUCGGGCCUUGCGCUAUCAGAUGAGCCUAGGUCGGAUUAGCUAGUUGGUGAGGUAAUGGCUCACCAAGGCGACGAUCCGUAACUGGUCUGAGAGGAUGAUCAGUCACACUGGAACUGAGACACGGUCCAGACUCCUACGGGAGGCAGCAGUGGGGAAUAUUGGACAAUGGGCGAAAGCCUGAUCCAGCCAUGCCGCGUGUGUGAAGAAGGUCUUCGGAUUGUAAAGCACUUUAAGUUGGGAGGAAGGGCAGUUACCUAAUACGUGAUUGUUUUGACGUUACCGACAGAAUAAGCACCGGCUAACUCUGUGCCAGCAGCCGCGGUAAUACAGAGGGUGCAAGCGUUAAUCGGAAUUACUGGGCGUAAAGCGCGCGUAGGUGGUUUGUUAAGUUGGAUGUGAAAUCCCCGGGCUCAACCUGGGAACUGCAUUCAAAACUGACUGACUAGAGUGUGGUAGAGGGUGGUGGAAUUUCCUGUGUAGCGGUGAAAUGCGUAGAUAUAGGAAGGAACACCAGUGGCGAAGGCGACCACCUGGACCAACACUGACACUGAGGUGCGAAAGCGUGGGGAGCAAACAGGAUUAGAUACCCUGGUAGUCCACGCCGUAAACGAUGUCAACUAGCCGUUGGGAGCCUUGAGCUCUUAGUGGCGCAGCUAACGCAUUAAGU